ensembl:lncRNA
AGAGACUGUCUCCAACUGCCCUCCUGGCGCUGUUGGGAGCUUGGUCUCCAGACCGGGGCGCUGCCGACUCCCGGGUACGGGAACCUCCGGCGGAGUCUCAGUGCCUCUGACUGCUGAAUCGUCCUCCUGUGGCGCGCCAAGAGCCGCCUUGCCCAAGGGAGAGCUCCCAGUCCAAAGGCAAAAUCACACGGAAUUGCCGGCUUCUAUCUGAGACAGACAGCCCUCCUCUACUGUGAAUGGGAUUCGGGAUUCGAACGGAAGCUGCCAGAGCCCCUACACCUCGCGCCGUGAGCACAGCGCCACCCACGACCUGCGGCGGUGUGGUUGGGUGUACCCAGGUGGGGCAGCGGCCGGAUCUCAGCCCUGAAUAGUCACCGAGUUCUGCUCUGCGCGGUGUUUUCUCCUGGUCCUUAUCAGAUGCCAUUGGUCUCUCUGCAACAUUUGGGGCACCGAAGCCAACUUGACCUGCCUGAUGCAAACAUCUGGAUUCCAGGGGAACUACCAGGGCCAGUGGCUGAAGGCACAAGCAUCGAAUCACCAGCUCUUCAGACUCCAGCUUGUUAUUCACGUAUAUAAGAAAGUUAUUGAUUUCUGUAUGUGCUGCGUCUCAUGGCCCACUGUGAUGGGUUUGCUCUUGGUGCUAAAGGGGCAGGAACAGAUGUACAAGGAUGGAAGGGUUUCUCCUCUAAAAUUGCAAGAAAGUGGAACCAGAAGCCAAAGUCCACUGCAAGCCUAUGGUAUAAAGGAGAACAAAGGCAUCCGAUAAUUCAAGUGGCCCAGGCCAGGCCAGGCCUGCAGAAAAGGAAAGGACAGAAUUGCCCGUGAUAAUGCUCAGUGUGCUGCUUAGUGAAUUGUUCAGCCGAGUGGAGACCAAAAUAUCUAAGGGACUUGUUAUCAGUUGAAUCGUGCCCCAAAAGAUGUUCAACUGCCAACCCCAGUACCUCAGAAUAUGACCUUAUUUGGAAAUAGCGUCUCCGGCGAGGAGAAGUUCAGACGAUGUCAUUAGGGUGGGCCCUAAUCCAGUGUAACUGGUCUCCUUAUGAAAAGGGGAAAUUUGGGCCCAGAGACAGACCGUCAUGUGAGGAUGAAGGCAGAGGUCAGGUGCUGCAUCGACAAGCGAAGGAACGCCAAAGAUUGCCAGUGAACAACGAGAAGCUGGGGGCGAGCCGAGGACAGACUCCCCCUCACACCCCUCAGAAGUCAGCCCUUCUUACACCUGGAUCUCGGAUUUCCAGCCUCCAGGACUGUGACACCAAUUUCUGUUGUUUAAGCCCCCCACUGUGUGGUAUUUUGUUACAGCAGCUCCAGCAAACUAGUACAAGAUCCUAAGUGGAAAAUAGAAAUUCUACGACAGUGGUUCUCAGUUGUGGUUCCCAGACCAGCAGCAUUAGAAUCACCCAGGAACUUGCUGGAAGUGCACACUCCUGGGUCCCUCUCUAUAUCUGCUGAAUCGGGAACUCUGGGAGUGCGCUCCAGCAAGGUGUUUUAAUAAGCCUUCCAGAUUAUUCCGAUGCACGGUACAGCUUGAGAACCACUGGUCUGAAGAAAUUCCCUAUUCUUGGGCAGCUGGAAGGACUCUGAAAAAUGGGAAUCCGAAACUGUUCAACCAGACAUAGCUUUAUUCACAGUGGGCUUCUUUCUCAACGUUUUUUAUUCUGGUAUAAUACACAUGACAUAAAAUUGACCAUCUUAACCAUUUUUAAGUGUACCAUUCAGUGGUAUUAGUAAGUUCUUACUGUUAUGCAACCGUCACCAUCAUCCAUUUCUGUAACUCUUUUCAUCUUGCAACACUGAAACUCUAUACCUAUUAAACAAUAAAUCUCCAUUCUCCCCCGCCCCAGGCCCCGGCAACCACCAUUCUACUUUCUAUCUCUAUGAUUUCAUUACUCUAAUUACCUCAUAUUAGUGGAAUUAUACGGUAUUUGUCUUUUUGUGACUGGCUUACUUCACUUAGCGUAACGUCCUCAAGGUUCAUCCAUGUUGUAGCAUAUGUCAGCGUUUCCUUGCCUUUU